AUUGAACGCUGGCGGCAUGCCUUACACAUGCAAGUCGAACGGUAACGCGGGCAACCUGGCGACGAGUGGCGAACGGGUGAGUAAUAUAUCGGAACGUGCCCAGUAGUGGGGGAUAGCCCGGCGAAAGCCGGAUUAAUACCGCAUACGACCUACGGGUGAAAGGCGGGGGAUCGCAAGACCUCGCGCUAUUGGAGCGGCCGAUAUCAGAUUAGGUAGUUGGUGGGGUAAAGCCUACCAAGCCUACGAUCUGUAGCUGGUCUGAGAGGACGACCAGCCACACUGGGACUGAGACACGGCCCAGACUCCUACGGAGGCAGCAGUGGGAA
rnacentral:rRNA from 1 species